rnacentral:lncRNA from 1 species
UAGGAACUAAUUCUUUAGUUGUUGACCUAUAUGCAUAGAUAUUGAUCAAAGAUACCAUAUUGGUCCGACAUUUAUCUGUUUAUUUUACUCUCAAUAUGUAUCGAUGAGAAACAUUCAACUGCACUCAUACAAUGUGCAACUAGAGUCCCUUUCGUGAUUAGAAAAAUGUAAUUGGAGAGGUAGUAGAAAUAUUCAGAUAGUUAUCGUCGUAUCUGAAAUUGAAUAUUUGUAGAUCAUAUGAUAAUGCUAGAUCAUAUUUCUAUAAUUAAUAAGUACCGGCUAAUAUGCUAGAUCAUAUCUCCUGUCAUGUUUUGCUUGCUCGACUACACGGCAGAAAUCAGAAAAUGUCUUUGUAUGGCGUGAGCAAGCUGGUUUAUAUUUGAACAACCUUCUGAGUACUUUUCAAGUUUUCAUGAUAUUUCUCAUCCUGUGUGGUUGCUAACUGAAGACCAAAGCUUAUACUUACGGGGAAAGACUUAUGGAAGUGCGCAUGCAGAUAUGAUGGCCUUGUUCGUUUCGAAGUCGCUGCGAGUCUGCGACCUGCAACUGUGUGCGUUUGGUCAAGUUUAAAAGAAAAAGUGGAAGCCCAAUAUAUAAGCAUUUUUGGAUAAGGCAAUCUGGUCGAUCAGGUCGAACAUGAAUUGAAAUAGUUUCCUUUCGUUUAAGCAUAUAUAAAUUAAACUAAUAGUAUGUCAUGUACACGCACUAUUUAUAUAAGCGUC